UUUUGUCUUGGGCUAGCAUUGUGCUUCUUGCUAUAAUCCUCCCACCAAUUCGAAGCAUGUGAUUCCUUCUCUGUGUUUUCACUAUAGAUGCAGAGUUACACUCCAUUGACAUACAUAAUGAUUAAGAUGCAUCGAAUUCGGUACUCGGAUCUCCACUCUUUGGUGGCCUAAAUUGAUUGCAUUGAAAAGCGCACAAGGGAAAGGAAAUGACUUGCUCUGCACAAGGGUUUCCUUUGCUGGAAUACUUGCAUUCUAAAAGAGUGGAGAGUAGAUGAAGUAUCGAUGCCAAGCCCUUUACAUUUGUGGAUUGAUGGAUGCUCUGAUUUGAAGAUGCUUCUAAAAGGACGACAAGAAAUUGGAGUUGUGGAUCAUGCAUUCAUAAUUCAAAGCCAUGUUUUGAGAAGAUGAAGGAAAUAUUGGCAUAAGAUUCAACAUAUAUUCGCCAGUGAGGUAGGCGAUUAUUAAGAUGCACUAGCGUUGAAUUAAUCACUUUCAUUUCCUCUACUUGUGAGGUAAAUUGCUAGCCGUAUCUUGCGAUUCAGCUCAUGUGGGCUUUUUACUGUCCUAUGGGCGUUUGUCAUUGGCCUUCUUGCAAUCAUCCUUCAUUCAAGUUUUAGAACACCUAAUCUAAAAGCUUGUCUGAACACAUUCCGCGAGGAGUUCCGUGCAGCUGAUUAGAUAGAUAACUUUUUUAUUGGUAUUGUGCUUUUAUGAAUGGAUUAAAAUGAAUGAUUGUAUUUGAAUGAAUGAAUGAAUGAUUUAGCCUUUUUCCAAUCUGCAACUCUCCCUAUGGUCGAGUA